AUAGCACUUGAGGCAGGAUUUGGUAACUGGUACUGAGAGAAAAGCCCUUGAUUGUCUCCUGGCCCUGGGACUAUGCCAGUCACAGCUGUCACUCAGUGGGACAAAG
rnacentral:snoRNA from 1 species